rnacentral:rRNA from 1 species
UGCGAGGAAAAGAAACCAACAGGGAUUGCCCCAGUAAUGGCGAAUGAAGCGGCAAGAGCCCAAAUUUGAAAUCGGGCAACCGAGUUGUAAUUUGGAGACGGGACACUAGAGAGGAGGAAGGCGAUUAAGUGCCUUGGAACAGGCUGCCGUAGAGGGUGAGAGCCCCGUGAAUCGCUGGAGACCGAUCAAUUAGUGCCCGCCGAAGAGUCGAGUUGUUUGGGAAUGCAGCUCUAAGUGGGUGGUAUAUUCCAUCUAAGGCUAAAUAUUAGCGAGAGACCGAUAGCAAACAAGUACAGUGAUGGAAAGAUGAAAAGAACUUUGGAAAGAGAGUGAAAUAGUACGUGAAAUUGUUGAAAGGGAAGGGUAUUUGAUCCGACAUGGUGUUUAGCAGCGGCCCGUUCCUCGUGGAUGGGUGCACCUGGUUUACACUGGGCCAGCAUCGGUUCUGGGAGCCAUAUACGGGGUUCGUGAAUGUGGCCCUUCGAUUCUGUCGGAGGGUGUUAUAGCGCGGACAUCUUGUGGCUAGCCGGGACCGGGGACUGCGGUGACUUGUCACCAAGGAUGCUGGCAGAACGAGCAAAUACCACCCG